GACAGUGUGGUGUAGUGAUUUGAGUGUUCGACUAGGACUCUGGGACACCAGGGUUCAAAUCCCUGCUCAGACA